rnacentral:rRNA from 1 species
CGAAUGACUUUAGUUUAACCCCCCGAAACUGACGUGAGCUACUUCGAAACAGCUGUAAGAGCCAACCCGUCUCUGUUGCAAUAGAGUGGGAAGAUUUCUAAGUAGAGGUGAUAAACCUACCGCACCCAGAAAUAGCUGGUUACUCAAGAAAAGAAUUUUAGUUCAACCUUAAGUUUUUCCUAGUUUCUCUAAACCGCCACUAAAUUUAAGAGCUAUUCAAAUAAGGCACAGCUUAUUUGAAACAGGAUACAACCUACACCACAGGGUAAUAUAUCAAAAAAUGAAAUGACUAGUGGGCCUAAAAGCAGCCAUCCUUCAUAAAAGCGUUAAAGCUUAACAUUUUCUUUUCCUAAUCCCCCAUACCAUUUAAAACCCUUCUCCAAUAUUGAGUAAUUUCAUAAAAAUAUGAAAAAUAUAAUGCUAGAACUAGUAACAAGAAAUAAUUUUUCUCCAAAAUGUAAACUUAAGCCAUAUUAGACAAACCAAUGGCAAUUAACGAAAUUGAGCCCCCUUUAGUAACAUACCAAGAAAACUCUACAAAUCAAAACGUUAACCUUACACAAGAACAUUAAUGGAAAGAUUAAAAGAAAAAGAAGGAACUCGGCAAAUCCUAACCCCGCCUGUUUACCAAAAACAUCGCCUCUUGAAACCAAACAUAAGAGGUCCAGCCUGCCCAGUGAUAAUAUUCAACGGCCGCGGUACCCUAACCGUGCGAAGGUAGCAUAAUCACUUGUUCUUUAAAUGAGGACUUGUAUCAACGGCAUCACGAGGGUUACACUGUCUCCUUUUUCCAAUCAGUGAAACUGAUCUUCCCGUGAAGAAGCGGGAAUUUUUUUAUAAGACGAGAAGACCCCAUGGAGCUUAAAACCCAAGUGCACUCCUAUUAACUACUACCGCUUAAAUUAUGGAUUUUUGUAUACUUGGUUUUAGGUUGGGGUGACCGCGGAGCAUAACCUAGCCUCCACGAUGAACAGGACUACCUCCUCAUCUAAGAGCCACACCUCUAAGAAAUAGUAUUCUAACAUAAAAUGAUCCGACAAUCGAUCAACGAACAAAGUUACCCUGGGGAUAACAGCGCAAUCCACUUCAAGAGCCCCUAUCGCCAAGUGGGUUUACGACCUCGAUGUUGGAUCAGGGUAUCCUAGUGGUGCAGCA